UACGUAGGACGCAAGCGUUGUCCGGAAUUAUUGGGCGUAAAGAGCUCGUAGGCGGUUUGUCGCGUCGGGAGUGAAAACUCAGGGCUCAACCCUGAGCGUGCUUCCGAGUACGGGCAGACUAGAGGUAUGCAGGGGAGAACGGAAUUCCUGGUGUAGCGGUGGAAUGCGCAGAUAUCAGGAGGAACACCGGUGGCGAAGGCGGGUCUCUGGGCCGAUACUGAC
rnacentral:rRNA from 1 species